rnacentral:rRNA from 1 species
GGGGGCAACCCUGGUGGCGAGUGGCGAACGGGUGAGUAAUACAUCGGAACGUGUCCUGGAGUGGGGGAUAGCCCGGCGAAAGCCGGAUUAAUACCGCAUACGCUCUAUGGAGGAAAGCGGGGGAUCUUCGGACCUCGCGCUCAAGGGGCGGCCGAUGGCGGAUUAGCUAGUUGGUAGGGUAAAGGCCUACCAAGGCGACGAUCCGUAGCUGGUCUGAGAGGACGACCAGCCACACUGGGACUGAGACACGGCCCAGACUCCUACGGGAGGCAGCAGUGGGGAAUUUUGGACAAUGGGGGCAACCCUGAUCCAGCAAUGCCGCGUGUGUGAAGAAGGCCUUCGGGUUGUAAAGCACUUUUGUCCGGAAAGAAAUCCUCUGGGUUAAUACCUCGGGGGGAUGACGGUACCGGAAGAAUAAGC